rnacentral:rRNA from 1 species
UACGUAGGCAGCGAGCGUUGUUCGGAAUUACUGGGCGUAAAGAGUGUGUAGGCGGUGCUCUAAGUCUGUCGUGAAAUCUCCCGGCUUAACCGGGAGGCUGCGGCGGAAACUGGUGUGCUAGAGGGUGGGAGAGGUAAGCGGAAUUCCUGGUGUAGCGGUGAAAUGCGUAGAUAUCAGGAGGAACACCUGCGGUGUAGACAGCUUACUGGACCACUUCUGACGCUGAGACACGAAAGCGUGGGUAGCAAACAGG